GGGAGCUGUUCGUAUGUUCCUGUGUUGGGGCUAAAACCACCGGUCACCAUUGUCUGGUACACAGCGUAAGCGUGCUCAGGUUUUCCAGACAAACUGUAUCCGCGGAUCAGAGCGUUAAAUGUAAAAACAUUCGGUUCAAGACCUGCUCUUUGAAUCUCAUUGUAAAUCUUCCCAGCUUCUUCCACCAUCCCGGCGAUACCCAAGUUUAGAAUCAAGGAGUUGUAAGUGUAGAGAUCAGGGGUGAUUCCUCUGCUGGUCUUCAUCUCGUUGAAAAGCACAAGAGCUUCUUCAAGUCUAUGAGAUUUCCCAAGUCCAUUGAUUAUGAGAUUGUAACAUACUACAUCGGGAUUGAGGCCUGAUUC